rnacentral:rRNA from 1 species
GACGAACGCUGGCGGCGUGCCUAACACAUGCAAGUCGAGCGGGGUUGAGGCGAGAGGUAACUCGAACUUCUACCUAGCGGCGGACGGGUGAGUAACGCGUGGGCAACCUGCCUCAAGGUUUGGGAUAACAGCCCGAAAGGGCUGCUAAUACCGGAUAUGCCUAUGGCCUCGCAUGGGGCUAUGAGCAAAGGGGAAACCCGCCUUGAGAUGGGCCCGCGUCCCAUCAGCUAGUUGGUGAGGUAACAGCUCACCAAGGCGACGACGGGUAGCCGGCCUGAGAGGGUGACCGGCCACACUGGGACUGAGACACGGCCCAGACUCCUACGGGGGGCAGCAGUGGGGGAUCUUGCACAAUGGGCGAAAGCCUGAUGCAGCGACGCCGCGUGAGCGAAGAAGGCCUCGGUUGUAAGACGUCUGUCUGGAGGGACGGAACGAAAAAUAGAACGGUACCGUACCGGACGGAACGGACCGAACCGGGCCGUAAACCGUAACCGGUACGUCCACGGCCAACGGACCGGCCGGGUAAAAACGUAACCGUAACGGUACGUUAACGUCGUAAC